rnacentral:rRNA from 1 species
GACGAACGCUGGCGGCGUGCCUAACACAUGCAAGUGGAGCGACGAACCAGGCUUCGGCCUGGGGCAAAGCCGCGAACGGGUGAGUAACACGUGGGUAACCUGCCCUGAUGAUCGGGACAACCCGGGGAAACUCGGGCUAAUACCGAAUGUGCCCUCCGGCCUCAAGGCCGCUGGGGAAAGGAAGCUUCGGCCUCCGCAUCGGGAUGGGCCCGCGGCCCAUUAGCUUGUUGGUGAGGUAACGGCUCACCAAGGCGACGAUGGGUAGCUGGUCUGAGAGGACGAUCAGCCACACUGGGACUGAGACAC